UUAAGUCUCUUUUCUCUCUCUCUCAACACUCGAAACAAAUAUAGAACCAUAAGAAUGGUUCAAGCAUAUCUUUCUCAAACUUGGACUUGGACUUCCACUAGAUGAUGGACGAGCGACGCAGAGUGUUAGACGACGGCAUCCAGCGGUUGACAGUAGACAAUGGACGACGAACAAGCGUUGGACGAUAUAUGGCUAACGAUAAUUUUGUUUGGAGCCUCGACAAUAUGUUUUGAUUCGUUUCUACAGGGUUUCAUUUGACUAGAUUUAUUUUGUUCUAUUUCUUUGUGGGUGAGAUCUAUUUUGAUCUCUUUCUUUCUGGGUGAGAUCUAUUUUGAUCUUUUUCUUUCUGGGUGAGAUCUGUUUCUUUCUAGGUGAGAUGGUUAUGAUUUAUUUUGGCCUCCACUUUUUCAAGUUAUUUGAACCAGCCGGCCUAAUCAUCCGGGUUAUCCCGGUUUAUCCGGAGUCAACUAGAUUUUGCACGGCCAGAAACGGU
rnacentral:lncRNA from 1 species